rnacentral:SRP_RNA from 1 species
CCAGGCCUGGAACGCAGCAGCCGUCGGGCGU